rnacentral:rRNA from 1 species
GAUGAACGCUGGCGGCGUGCCUAAUACAUGCAAGUCGAGCGAACGGACGAGAAGCUUGCUUCUCUGAUGUUAGCGGCGGACGGGUGAGUAACACGUGGAUAACCUACCUAUAAGACUGGGAUAACUUCGGGAAACCGGAGCUAACACCGGAUGAUAUCUUGAACCGCAUGGUUCAAAAGUGAAAGACGGUCUUGCUGUCACUUAUAGAUGGAUCCGCGCUGCAUUAGCUAGUUGGUAAGGUAACGGCUUACCAAGGCAACGAUGCAUAGCCGACCUGAGAGGGUGAUCGGCCACACUGGAACUGAGACACGGUCCAGACUCCUGCGGGAGGCAGCAGUAGGGAAUCUUCCGCAAUGGGCGAGAGCCUGACGGAGCAACGCCGCGUGAGUGAUGAAGGUCUUCGGAUCGUAAAACUCUGUUAUUAGGGAAGAACAUAUGUGUAAGUAACUGUGCACAUCUUGACGGUACCUAAUCAGAAAGCCACGGCUAACUACGUG